GCGGGAGUAGCUCAGUUGGUUAGAGCGGCAGAUUGUGGCUCUGCAGGUCGCCGGUUCGAACCCGGUUUCUCGCCCCA
rnacentral:tRNA from 2 species